UCUAGCCCGUUUCCCGUAAGGCGCCGAAUGAUUCAUUAAAAAAUUAUCAUCCGAUCCCUAGUCGGCAUAGUUUAUGGUUAAGACUACGACGGUAUCUGAUCGUCUUCGAUCCCCUAACUUUCGUUCUUGAUUAAUGAAAACAUCCUUGGCAAAUGCUUUCGCAGUAGUUAGUCUUCAAUAAAUCCAAGAAUUUCACCUCUGACAAUUGAAUACUAAUGCCCCCAACUAUCCCUAUUAAUCAUUACGUCGAUCUUAGAAACCAACGAAAUAAGAUCAAACGUCCUAUUUCAUUAUUCCAUGCUAAUGUAUUCAAGCCAAAGCCUGCUUUAAACACUCUAAUUUUUUCAAAGUAACAGUCCUGAUUCCCCACGACACCAAGUUAAUGACAUCAUGCUUCGUCAGAAGGGAGAAACCAAUUGUACCAGUGCGUACCGUUGGCACGACCAAUAAAUUGAUCCCGAAAUUCAACUACGAGCUUUUUAACUGCAACAACUUUAAUAUACGCUAUUGGAGCUGGAAUUACCGCGGCUGCUGGCACCAGACUUGCCCUCCAGGGCGGAU
rnacentral:rRNA from 1 species